AACACUUAGAAAUAGGUGCUAAUACCGCAUAAGCGCACAGCUUCGCAUGAAGCGGUGUGAAAAACUCUGGUGGUAUACGAUGGUUCCGCGUCUGAUUAGCUAGUUGGUGGGGUAAUGGCCUACCAAGGCAACGAUCAGUAGCCGGCCUGAGAGGGUGAACGGCCACAUUGGGACUGAGACACGGCCCAAACUCCUACGGGAGGCAGCAG
rnacentral:rRNA from 1 species